rnacentral:pre_miRNA from 1 species
GAUUUCAACUGAAAAAGUCAUCAACAACAAAGUUGUAUAACUCAUGAAAAUCUAUAACUUUUAUUUUGGUCAUUUCUACAUCCGACAAAGUGAUAGUAACAUUGUUCACAAAAUUUACAUCUCUCAUUUGUUUUUAUAAACUAUGAAAGAUAUAUGUAAAUUUUAUGAACAAUGUUACUGUCACUUUAUCGGAUGAAGAAAUUACCAAAAUAAAAGUUAUAUGUCUUGAUGAGUUCUACAACUUUUAUGUUCAUGAUUUUUUCAGCUAAAUUU